rnacentral:rRNA from 1 species
GGGAAGGGAUCAUUUGCACAUGCAUAUACAACUGUAUGAUAAUGAUAUUGUGGGCAAGUGUAGGCAUGUAUUGCCAUGAACUUGCACGUGCCCUGGGCUGCAUGGCUUGUUUGUUCAAGCAUGUGUGCUGUAGAGUGUUACAUGUUUGAUAAACUGCUUGCAACUUCUUUGCUUGCUACAAUGAUUAUGUUUUGCAAAGAAUGUAUUAGCUCAAUAAAUGAUGAAGAAUGCAGCAAAAUGCAUUAUGCAUUGUGAAUUGCAGAAUUCCGUGAGCUAACAGAUGUUUGAAUGUUAUUUGUAUCUUUGGGAUAUUCUUGAAGGUGUGCUUGAUUCAAUGCAUAUUAUUUUUCAUAUGUAUAUAAUGCUGAUUAGCAUUGCUGUGAGCAAUAAGGGUCAACGUGUUUGCAUUGAACCUGGGUGUCAUACACUUUCUUUACAACCUAAACAUGGUUUAUUUGGGCAAACUUGUUUCGUCAUUUGCUGGUUGAUAUGUGUAAACAUGCACAACUGAGACAAGCUGAAGACUUGCAUAUGCUUAGCGUGAAGUGAAGCACAUAAACCCGCUGAAUUUUUAGGC